rnacentral:rRNA from 1 species
GGAAACGGUGGCUAAUACCGCAUAACGUCGCAAGACCAAAGAGGGGGACCUUCGGGCCUCUUGCCAUCAGAUGUGCCCAGAUGGGAUUAGCUAGUUGGUGAGGUAACGGCUCACCAAGGCGACGAUCCCUAGCUGGUCUGAGAGGAUGACCAGCCACACUGGAACUGAGACACGGUCCAGACUCCUACGGGAGGCAGCAGUGGGGAAUAUUGCACAAUGGGCGCAAGCCUGAUGCAGCCAUGCCGCGUGUAUGAAGAAGGCCUUCGGGUUGUAAAGUACUUUCAGCGGGGAGGAAGGUGUUGUGGUUAAUAACCGCAGCAAUUGACGUUACCCGCAGAAGAAGCACCGGCUAACUCCGUGCCAGCAGCCGCGGUAAUACGGAGGGUGCAAGCGUUAAUCGGAAUUACUGGGCGUAAAGCGCACGCAGGCGGUCUGUCAAGUCGGAUGUGAAAUCCCCGGGCUCAACCUGGGAACUGCAUUCGAAACUGGCAGGCUUGAGUCUUGUAGAGGGGGGUAGAAUUCCAGGUGUAGCGGUGAAAUGCGUAGAGAUCUGGAGGAAUACCGGUGGCGAAGGCGGCCCCCUGGACAAAGACUGACGCUCAGGUGCGAAAGCGUGGGGAGCAAACAGGAUUAGAUACCCUGGUAGUCCACGCCGUAAACGAUGUCUACUUGGAGGUUGUGCCCUUGAGGCGUGGCUUCCGGAGCUAACGCGUUAAGUAGACCGCCUGGGGAGUACGGCCGCAAGGUUAAAACUCAAAUGAAUUGACGGGGGCCCGCACAAGCGGUGGAGCAUGUGGUUUAAUUCGAUGCAACGCGAAGAACCUUACCUGGUCUUGACAUCCACAGAACUUUCCAGAGAUGGACUGGUGCCUUCGGGAACUGUGAGACAGGUGCUGCAUGGCUGUCGUCAGCUCGUGUUGUGAAAUGUUGGGUUAAGUCCCGCAACGAGCGCAACCCUUAUCCUUUGUUGCCAGCGAUUAGGUCGGGAACUCAAAGGAGACUGCCAGUGAUAA